rnacentral:rRNA from 1 species
CAGUCGCCGCGGUAAAACGUAGGGUGCAAGCGUUAAUCGGAAUUACUGGGCGUAAAGCGUGCGCAGGCGGUUAUAUAAGUCAGAUGUGAAAUCCCCGGGCUCAACCUGGGAACUGCAUUUGAGACUGUAUGGCUAGAGUGUGUCAGAGGGGGGUAGAAUUCCACGUGUAGCAGUGAAAUGCGUAGAUAUGUGGAGGAAUACCGAUGGCGAAGGCAGCCCCCUGGGAUAACACUGACGCUCAUGCACGAAAGCGUGGGGAACAAACCGGAUUAGAUACCCCAGUAGUCCCUGUCUCUUAUAC